CGAGGUCUGUAAUAGACACCUCAAACUCCAGGAUGCAGGGCUCACCGGGGAGCUGGUUCUGGCAUUCACGGAGCCCCUCGCGGUCGAUAGAGGUCUCCGUGGUGAAGAUGUCUCCCGUCUUGCCAUCCACCCGCAGCCAUUAUUGUCUGCUCCAAUCCUGUGGCAAUGAAUCACUGAGCUCUCUGGGACACCGCACUCCUGCCUGUGUUGUUCAACCCCAGUACUGUGCACCUAUUCCUGCGUUCUCUGGCUCUCCAGGCAAACGCCAAACUUCCUGAAGGUAGGGCCAGGCUCCCUACAUUCAUCUCCCUGCCCCAACCCACGCACCUUCACAAUGCUGGGCACCAUGCAUUCAACAAAUGUUUAUUGUGACUUACAACGUGCCAGGCUCUGUCCCAGGCACUGGGACACAACAGCAUACAAGAUAGACUCAGUCUGCUACCGUGGAGCUCACAACAGUUCUACCUCAAUGACUAUUUGUCAAUCUUGUUUGGUUGUAAUCAUUUGGCACAUGUAAGGCUGCGGGAUGGAGAAGACAUCAGACAGUCUGAGGUGAACCCUAACUGUCCAUUUCCUGGCUGCUGAGCAGGAGGAAAUGAUUUAGAGCUUCAGUUUCCUUAUCUGUAAAAUGGGAAUAAUACUACCUAUUGUCUAGGGAGUUUGAAAUUUUGUGGGCUAAAUGCCUAGCACACAGUAAAUAGUCAACAAAUGCUCCCUCAAAGCACCUACAA